CAGCGGCAGCGUACACAUGCAAGUCGAGCGGAAACGAUGGAGCUUGCUCCAGGCGUCGAGCGGCGGACGGGUGAGUAAUGCAUAGGAAUCUGCCCGGUAGUGGGGGAUAACCUGGGGAAACCCAGGCUAAUACCGCAUACGUCCUACGGGAGAAAGCAGGGGAUCUUCGGACCUUGCGCUAUCGGAUGAGCCUAUGUCGGAUUAGCUUGUUGGUGAGGUAAUGGCUCACCAAGGCGACGAUCCGUAGCUGGUCUGAGAGGAUGAUCAGCCACAUCGGGACUGAGACACGGCCCGAACUCCUACGGGAGGCAGCAGUGGGGAAUAUUGGACAAUGGGCGAAAGCCUGAUCCAGCCAUGCCGCGUGUGUGAAGAAGGCUUUCGGGUUGUAAAGCACUUUCAGUGAGGAAGAAAGCCUUGGGGCUAAUACCCCCGAGGAAAGACAUCACUCACAGAAGAAGCACCGGCUAACUCCGUGCCAGCAGCCGCGGUAAUACGGAGGGUGCGAGCGUUAAUCGGAAUUACUGGGCGUAAAGCGCGCGUAGGCGGCGUGAUAAGCCGGUUGUGAAAGCCCCGGGCUCAACCUGGGAACGGCAUCCGGAA
rnacentral:rRNA from 1 species